rnacentral:misc_RNA from 1 species
GGAAGAGGUGUGUUUGAAUGAUGGUGAUGUGUUUGAGAAGUUGCUUCCGAAUUCUGUUAAUUGGAGAGAUAAUGAGCCACCGGAGUUGUCUAGAGUGUUUGAACCGAAUUCUAGGAUGUAUACGACUUUAAUGAAAGGUUAUAUGAAUGCUGGUCGUGUUACAGAUAUGGUGAGGAUGUUAGAGGCAAUGAGACAUCUAGGAGAUAGUGAGAGCCAUCCAGACCAUGUCACUUACACGACAGUUAUUUCUGCGUUUGUGAAGCAAGGUUUAAUGGAUAGGGCACGAGAGGUGCUGGCCGAGAUGGUCAGGAUUGGUG